GACGGAGGGUGCUAGCGUUGUUCGGAAUGACUGGGCGUAAAGGGCGCGUAGGCGGCCGCUUGCGUCGGAUGUGAAAGCCCGGGGCUCAACCCCGGAACGGCAUCCGAUACGGGGCGGCUCGAGACCGAGAGAGGUGAGUGGAAUACCCAGUGUAGAGGUGAAAUUCGUAGAUAUUGGGUGGAACACCGGUGGCGAAAGCGGCUCACUGGCUCGGUACUGACGCUGAGGUGCGAAAGCGUGGGGAGCAAACAGG
rnacentral:rRNA from 1 species